rnacentral:misc_RNA from 1 species
CUUGGUAUUCCGAGGGGCAUGCCUGUUCGAGCGUCAUUUAAAACCAUAAACCUGAAUGGGUUUGUAUUGGGCAUCGCCGUACGGCGUAGCCUCAAAGGCAUUGGUCUUGAACGCGGACGAGCUCCUUUAGGACAGACCGUGUGAGGACUUUAAACAUCUGACUUGACCUCAGAUCAGGUAGGACUACCGCCUGAACUUAA